CCCUCAAAAAUAAACAAACGCUAAAAAAAUAAAAUAAAUUAAAAAAAGCAAGCAAGCAGAAUUCAUUUUCCCCAGUCUUGGUAUCCUGCAAGCAAAGACAGAUUCCCAGGACUUACAGAAGCCAGAUGAGGCCAGCUACCAUUAUGUCCACUCACCAGGACUGAAGACUGAGUCUGAGGAAUGCCCCCAGUUACAUAGAGGGAAGGAAGAAAACUCAACUGAGAACCACCUCUAUGGGAAUCUGGCCUGGAGCAUGAAGAGGUGAGAAAGUCAACCAAGGUGUCCAUCUGGAAAGCCAAGAAGAGAUUAUCAUUUCAACAGAAAUUCAUCCAGAGAUGAUCAUUUCAAUGGAUUUUUUUUUCAAAAUUAAAUUAUUUUUUCUCCAUUACA